AUGUUUAAGAGAUCGGUUCAAUUGUUGAAUAGGUCAAAGUACUUGGCCAACUUUGGAUCCGACAUCACUGAAGUCGAUUAGCUGGGAGAAAUGGAAGCGCUAAAGGUGGAAUGUUUAGAUGGUGCUUUGGUGGAUUGUAUAUAAUUUUGGUGGUUGUAAUCAUAUUUGGCGUAUGGUUGUAAGAUUUCCUCUUAAGAAUGUGCUAGCACGAUGACUAUAGUAUGGCUGUUGGUAAUAAACCGACAAUAAAAAUAACAAUAAUAAUACUUAAUAAU
rnacentral:lncRNA from 1 species